GACGAACGCUGGCGGCGUGCUUAACACAUGCAAGUCGAACGGAAAGGCCCUGCUUUUGCGGGGUGCUCGAGUGGCGAACGGGUGAGUAACACGUGAGUAACCUGCCCUUGACUUUGGGAUAACUUCAGGAAACUGGGGCUAAUACCGGAUAGGAGCUCCUGCUGCAUGGUGGGGGUUGGAAAGUUUCGGCGGUUGGGGAUGGACUCGCGGCUUAUCAGCUUGUUGGUGGGGUAGUGGCUUACCAAGGCUUUGACGGGUAGCCGGCCUGAGAGGGUGACCGGCCACAUUGGGACUGAGAUACGGCCCAGACUGCUACGGGAGGCAGCAGUGGGGAAUAUUGCACAAUGGGCGGAAGCCUGAUGCAGCAACGCCGCGUGCGGGAUGACGGCCUUCGGGUUAUAAACCGCUUUCGCCUGAAACGAAGCGUGAGUGACGGUAAUGGGUAAAGAAGCACCGGCUAACUACGUG
rnacentral:rRNA from 1 species